AUUAAUCCGUUACACACGUCAUGUAUACUGUAGUAUGCCCUUAGGCGUGUAUCGAAAGUCGGUCGAUACGGUAGGAAAUAUCAGCUGACAAGUGUGGUGUGUAUUGAUCACAGCAUGCGCUGUGUUAAACAUGUUUAAAGUGAAGAGCAAUAAUUAUACAUAAGUAGCGGCGACUUGAAUAUUUGUUAUGUAUGAUAAACGUUUUGUUUUCACGAGUGAGUGAAUCAAUUACAUUAUGAAAUGGAUUAAUUAAUGUGAAUCAUAAAGGAUUAAAGACGUUUUAUGGUUUACGAUAUUAAUUAAUUAUUGUGUUAGAAAACUUGUUAUUCGCAAAGAAGAUUUGAAAAUAACUGACGACGUAAUUAAUGCGGCGUGGAUCUAAAACGUAAUUGGAAUCAAUUUACAGCACCAAUACAGGCACAGAGGUUGCAACAGAAACUACUGUUACGGAAACGUCAGUACCACAGAACAGGAAAAUCCUGAAACCCCACAAGACUGGUAGUGAUAAAGCCAAGCACAAAGUGUUUUCUUUUGUGUAACACUAGAGACUAUAUCUUACCUGUUUAUAUCAUUAGAUAUCAUAUAUCUAUUUAUAUCAUUAGUAUCAAGAAAUUAGAGAAAAGCCAAUUAUGUGUAAGGUUGUACAUAAUAAAAGUGUUCUAAACUGUU
rnacentral:lncRNA from 1 species